rnacentral:rRNA from 1 species
GAUGAACGCUGGCGGCGUGCCUAAUACAUGCAAGUCGAACGCGCAGCGAAAGGUGCUUGCACCUUUCAAGCGAGUGGCGAACGGGUGAGUAACACGUGGAUAACCUGCCUCAAGGCUGGGGAUAACAUUUGGAAACAGAUGCUAAUACCGAAUAAAACUUAGUAUCGCAUGAUACAAAGUUAAAAGGCGCUACGGCGUCACCUAGAGAUGGAUCCGCGGUGCAUUAGUUAGUCGAUGGGGUAAAGGCUUACCAAGACGAUGAUGCAUAGCCGAGUUGAGAGACUGAUCGGCCACAUUGGGACUGAGACACGGCCCAAACUCCUACGGGAGGCUGCAGUAGGGAAUCUUCCACAAUGGGCGCAAGCCUGAUGGAGCAACGCCGCGUGUGUGAUGAAGGCUUUCGGGUCGUAAAGCACUGUUGUAUGGGAAGAAAUGCUAAAAUAGGGAAUGAUCUUAGUUUGACGGUACCAUACCAGAAAGGGACGGCUAAAUACGUGCCAGCCGCCGCGGUAA